rnacentral:rRNA from 1 species
AUGCGCGCAGUGGAGGCUGAGGUUUCGCGGGCUGUCCUGGUCACCAUUGGUGGCCCGCGCCCGCCCGUCGACCUCCCGGCGGCGGCCGCUGCGAUUCAUGUGGAAUUCGAUCUCGGACCGCCGCACCUCUCGAUCCGGGCUUACUACCCGGAGGACUUCUUGAUGCUCUGCAAGGAUGUGGAUACGCGCAACAAGCUGCUGAGGGGUGUUCGGGCCUCAACUGAGCAGCUCUCGCUCUCCUUCAGGCCAUGGAUCUGGCAGGCGCAGACCACAGGCAUCACGAUGUCGUUCCUCGUGCCUCUGGCGCCAAGGUGGGUGCCGGCGAACGCCUGGACUCGGCGUACAACCGAGACGAUCCUUUGGGGCCUGGGGCUCGUCGUCAAGGUGGCGGACUGCACAUUGCGCCGGGAUGACAUGUCGCUAUUCCGUGUCUGGCUGUGCACUGAUGAUCCGGCGCGAAUCCUGCCUUGGUGCAUUCUGGUCAUGGAAGAGCCGAACCACGUUCUCUCCGGCAGGAGGAUAGGCCGGCAGAUUCCCUGUGGUACCCGGUAG